rnacentral:rRNA from 1 species
AUGACCUCGGAUCAUGUAGGGAUACCCGCUGAACUUAAGCAUAUCAAUAAGCGGAGGAAAAGAAACCAACAGGGAUUACCUCAGUAACGGCGAGU